rnacentral:rRNA from 1 species
UUAGGUAGCGCCUCGUGAAUUCAUCUCCGGGGGUAGAGCACUGUUUCGGCAAGGGGGUCAUCCCGACUUACCAACCCGAUGCAAACUGCGAAUACCGGAGAAUGUUAUCACGGGAGACACACGGCGGGUGCUAACGUCCGUCGUGAAGAGGGAAACAACCCAGACCGCCAGCUAAGGUCCCAAAGUCAUGGUUAAGUGGGAAACGAUGUGGGAAGGCCCAGACAGCCAGGAUGUUGGCUUAGAAGCAGCCAUCAUUUAAAGAAAGCGUAAUAGCUCACUGGUCGAGUCGGCCUGCGCGGAAGAUGUAACGGGGCUAAACCAUGCAC